GGGUAUAUAAUGACAAAUCAAUGUCAUGAAGAGAGGUGAUGACAUACAAAUCAUGCUCAAUAAUAUUAUGCUCAGGCCC
ensembl:snoRNA SNORD115 Small nucleolar RNA SNORD115